AGGAUACAUGUAAUUGCAUUUAGAGCCCACCUGGAUAAUCCAAGAUAAGUGCUUCUUCUCAAGAUCUUGAAUUUAAUCACAUCUUUUGCCAUAAAAGUUCCACAAAUGAACUACCAUUUCUAAUAUGGAUUUGCUAAAGACAUAAAGAUCGCCAGUACAAGUGAGGCUUCACUCCCAACCUCCAGAGGGUUCCAGCUGCAUACGGUCCUGGUAGAGGAGGUAGCAGUAGCAUGUCCACGGCCCUCCCGAUGUGUUCGUGGCACCCACAUUCUCCUCCAGGCAAUGGUUUAGAUGGUACC